rnacentral:rRNA from 1 species
AGGGUUUGAUUCUGGCUCAGGAUGAACGCUGGCGGCGUGCUUAACACAUGCAAGUCGAACGGGAAAUAUUUCAUUGAGACUUCGGUGGAUUUGAUCUAUUUCUAGUGGCGGACGGGUGAGUAACGCGUGGGUAACCUGCCUUAUACAGGGGGAUAACAGUCAGAAAUGGCUGCUAAUACCGCAUAAGCGCACAGAGCUGCAUGGCUCAGUGUGAAAAACUCCGGUGGUAUAAGAUGGACCCGCGUUGGAUUAGCUUGUUGGUGGGGUAACGGCCCACCAAGGCGACGAUCCAUAGCCGGCCUGAGAGGGUGAACGGCCACAUUGGGACUGAGACACGGCCCAG